ACAGAGUCUCCACAAGAUAAGAACAGGCUGGCCAGACCUCCAGUGCCAGCAGUGUAGCAGGGCAUAGCACAGGAAGCCUGCAGGUCUUCUUUAAUAUUUCUCGCAACAGACAUGCAUGGGAUGGAAAUGGAGAGUAGCCUGAGACAAAGAAGAUCUGGCGACAGGCCCAAACUGGGAUCCAGCUCAAGAAGAGGUCUGGAGGCCUGACACUAUUACUGAGGCUAUGGAGCGCUCACAAAAAAGGGACCUAUCAUGACCGUCCUCCAGAAGACCAACAAGCAGCUCAAAGUGUCAGAUGCAGAUAUUUCCACCCAACCAAUGUUCAGAAGCUGCUGACCCCUGUGGUUGAAUUAGGGAAAGACUAGAAGAAGCUGAGGAGGAGGGCAGCCCUCUAAGAGGACCAGGAGUCUCAAUUAACCUGGUCCCCCGAGAUCUCUCAAACACUGGACCACCAACCAGGAAGCAUAUACCAGAUGACAUGAGGCCCCAAACACAGACACAGCUGAGGACUGCUGGGUCUGGAAGAUACACCGAACCCUCAAGAGACUGGAGGCCCCAGUGAGUUGAGAGAUCUGGUUGGGUGAGUGAUGGGCGUUGGGGACAUCCUCGUGGAGACAGAGGCUAGGGAGGAAGUA
rnacentral:lncRNA from 1 species